CAGGGAGGGGCUGCUCUACUCCCACUUGUGUACUCUGUGGUUAGGAAAUCCUCCUCGAAUCGGGCAAAACCCCUGACAGGGCAGCCUGUGCUCACUUCCUCCUGGUGGCCAGUGCCAACCGGAAACUGCUCGCCCUUCCAGUUAGACACACUCCUUCGGCUAGAGCAGCCCGGAGCCAGCUCGGGAGUCAGGACUAUCCUUCUGAGUCACAUCGGCAGCCUCUCUGUAAGGAGCCCGUUGUGGGACGCUGGCUGCUGCCUGGACAUCACAAAACACACUCCAGCCAUCCUGAUCCUCGACAGACGCCCCAAAGCCGAGAGAGUUUCAAAUGACAUCGCUGCCCUGCGCUGAAGCUGCACACAGCCCCUUACAGGUUCUCCUGCAGCACGCUUCCCAUCGGCCCCCUUUUCACCUCCUCUGGACCCCUGUACUUAAGGAUUGAACUGAUCGCUGGCAGGGGAACCAGUAUUUAUCCCUAAGGCAUGAAUGUGCUUUGGGAGCCCAUUCCCUAUGGAGGGAUGCCCUCUCAGCCCAGGUACAGGGAAUGGGGGGAGGAGCUAGGACAUGCCCUAAAUGAUGUGACAGACUUUGAUGAUCCCCAUGGGAGGCCUCACCCUCUCUGAGGAGUUGAUGGGGAGAUGGUGGAGGGGAAUGGGAGGAUGAGAUGGGGAGGGAACUGAGA